rnacentral:misc_RNA from 1 species
AUCUCUCAAACCAUCGAAGGUUGUAAAAAGGCCUUCGCUUGGCUUUGGACUUGGAGGUCUAUGCCGGCGCUCGUCGGCUCCUCUCGAAAUGCAUUAGCUCGGAUCAUACGUGUCGAUCUGCGGUGUGAUAAACGUCUACGUCGCGGCAUUGACGCCUCGCGAAAGCGGGCUGAUCUGGCUUCUAAUCGCCCUCGGGCAACACAUCUGAC